AUCAUUAAAUUAACAUUUUUACCUGUAUUUUAACGUUCAUUUAACGGUUAACCCAUUCAAGCUAACACUACGUUAGAUAACACCCUACCCAAGGUAUUUGGGUGGUAGCUGUAACGUUAGUCGCCAAGCUUUGUGCUAUUUAUUUAGGGGAAUAGUUUUUGAGCUAAAGCAGGCUUGGCUUUUUGAGCUAACGUGGACCGUUACUGAAGAUUUCUUAUCAAGCGUCCUCUUGCGCACUUCCAUUAAGUGUUUCUGUGCUUGAAGGUCGCUAGAGCUGCUCAAAGCCUUUAGCUCUGCUAACUGCUGGCUCGUCUUUGGAUGGUCUGGUGGUUAGCCGGACGUCAAACACCGCAGGUGUUCAAAGAGUAACUUUACUUACAGAGCUCAAAAUAAAGGUGUGCGUGGUUGAUGUCCUCCUCCUUUGGUGGGGAACAUAUGUCCACAGCAGCUGUGCCACCAUGAAUAGGCAGUGAUUGUGUGUGAGCUAACUGCAUUCCUGGGAGCCAGGCCAAGUAACUAGUGGCCACUCGCUUUGGCCAAAAUAGCAGCUGACUUUGAAGAUCUCAUUUUUUUUUCAGACCAAAGAUGCUGAAGAGGUGAUCCUGAGACAUAUUUUAGGUAAAGUAAGGCGUGUGACUUGAACAGGUGUGUUACUGUAUCUUCCCGGUGACACAGUUUUCAGGAGCUACAGUACAGAUCUCCAUCCCAUGAGGAACAAGGUCAACAGAAGAGCUCUGAAUGGGAUGGUGAUCCCAAAAUAACAAUCCCAAGCACCAACAACGCCCCCCACCCCACUCUUAAACAACACAAUCAAACAAUCAAAGCCCUACUGCCUUUCCCUCAUUGUUUAAUUUCUGCUGGCUAUCUUAGAUAUCUCUGUGGCUGUUCUUAUCUUUGACCUUCAGCUUGUUGCUUUGUCGUCGCCCCCUCCCUCCACCCACCUACCUGCUCCCACCCCCACGCCAGUGUGCUGCGACCUUCAGAGGGGUGUCAUUACUCCCUGACCCAUUUGACGAUCCCCUCAUGUGGAAUGUGCAUAUGCCGAAUCGCUGCGGAUCUGCACAGUAUGGGGUGAGGUGAAGUACUUACAGAAAUAUGACUUGACACGCUUUAUCAAAUGGGGAAAGAUGAAGACGAAACAGCUGCUGGUGCUGUCGUAAGCAAUCUGGCCGUGAUUGAAUAAAAGUGUCAGGAAAAGGGCCGCUUGAUGGUCUUUUGUUCUCCCCCAUCCAGCUUGAUGUUAGUUUGAGCUGUCAGGAGGGAAUCACAGCUGGGUGAUUUAUCAAUACUUGGAGUGACCUUGCAGCCACACUGCUGUGUCUGUGCGUGUGUGUGUAUGUGUUUGUGCACAAGCUCGUAUCUGUGUGGCUCUCGUGGAUUAAAAAGACACAAAGUGGAAUAUUUUCAAAAUAGUUGGCACACAUAGACAAAGACUUGGCUUGACUUGGAACAAAACUCUCUCUUCUCUUAGACACAGUAAGUGGAUUGUUCUGCCAACACGAUAAGGGUAUUUUUCUCAACAUCAGAGCACUCAAAGUACCACCAGCAAAUGUUUGGGAGAUGUGUGUCUCUUUUAACUAACGCUGCUUUUGAACAUGUUUUUUUCCUAAAUCUCUUUACUAUUUUUUCCUAACCUGUCCACUCUGUUUCUUCACCUCAGUACUUUCUUUGAGAUGUACUUGGACAGCCUGUUUUCAUAGCAGCCAUUGACUGUCUCUGUUGUGAUUAAGCAGAUGUUUUAUUGCAGACUGGAACAGUCAUUACUGCCAUAAACCCAUCUGUGGAAUUGCUUUUUAUGCAAAUUUACAAAGCAUCUGCAUAAAUAAAGUUCUAAUUAAUACCUUU